GGUAAGUUAUAUAUAGUUCUAAGCAUUGUAUCAAUUUUUUAAAUACAACAGCCUACAUAACAAUCCACUUGUACUUCAUGCUAAUUUUUUUUGAAUUUUUAUGAACUUUUUUAUUUUUUAAUUUUUAUUUUUAAUUAUUUAUUGAUAUGACAUAUAAAACAAAUGAUGUUAAGUUAACAUGGUGUGCGUAUAAACUGUCGUGCGAGCCGUCA
rnacentral:lncRNA from 1 species